rnacentral:rRNA from 1 species
UUGACCUCGGAUCAGGUAGGGAUACCCGCUGAACUUAAGCAUAUCAAUAAGCGGAGGAAAAGAAACCAACAGGGAUUACCUCAGUAACGGCGAGUGAAGCGGUAACAGCUCAAAUUUGAAAU